rnacentral:rRNA from 1 species
UACGGGGGGGGCAAGCGUUGUUCGGAAUUACUGGGCGUAAAGGGCUCGUAGGCGGCCAACUAAGUCAGACGUGAAAUCCCUCGGCUUAACCGGGGAACUGCGUCUGAUACUGGAUGGCUCGAGAUUGGGAGAGGGAUGCGGAAUUCCAGGUGUAGCGGUGAAAUGCGUAGAUAUCUGGAGGAACACCGGUGGCGAAGGCGGCAUCCUGGACCAACACUGACGCUCAUGCACGAAAGCGUGGGGAGCAAACAGG